rnacentral:tRNA from 1 species
ACCAGUGUGGCUCAGUGGAUAGAGCAUCAGCCUGCAGACUGAAGGGUCCUGGGUUCGAUUCCAGUCAAGGGCA